AACACCGAUAUGCUUCGGGGAGCUGUAAGCAAGCUUUGAUCCGGAGAUUUCCGAAUGGGGAAACCCACCACUCGUAAUGGAGUGGUAUCCAUAUCUGAAUACAUAGGAUAUGAGAAGGCAGACCCGGGGAACUGAAACAUCUAAGUACCCGGAGGAAGAGAAAGCAAAUGCGAUUCCCUGAGUAGCGGCGAGCGAAACGGGACCAGCCCAAACCAAGAGGCUUGCCUCUUGGGGUUGUAGGACACUCUGUACGGAGUUACAAAGGAACGAGGUAGAUGAAGAGGUCUGGAAAGGCCCGCCAUAGGAGGUAACAGCCCUGUAGUCAAAACUUCGUUCUCUCCUGAGUGGAUCCUGAGUACGGCGGAACACGUGAAAUUCCGUCGGAAUCCGGGAGGACCAUCUCCCAAGGCUAAAUACUCCCUAGUGACCGAUAGUGAACCAGUACCGUGAGGGAAAGGUGAAAAGCACCCCGGAAGGGGAGUGAAAGAGAUCCUGAAACCGUGUGCCUACAAGUAGUCAGAGCCCGUUAACGGGUGAUGGCGUGCCUUUUGUAGAAUGAACCGGCGAGUUACGAUCCCGUGCAAGGUUAAGCAGAAGAUGCGGAGCCGCAGCGAAAGCGAGUCUGAAUAGGGCGAAUUGAGUACGUGGUCGUAGACCCGAAACCAGGUGAUCUACCCAUGUCCAGGGUGAAGUUCAGGUAACACUGAAUGGAGGCCCGAACCCACGCACGUUGAAAAGUGCGGGGAUGAGGUGUGGGUAGGGGUGAAAUGCCAAUCGAACCUGGAGAUAGCUGGUUCUCUCCGAAAUAGCUUUAGGGCUAGCCUCAAGGUAAGAGUCUCGGAGGUAGAGCACUGAUUGGACUAGGGGCCCCUACCGGGUUACCGAAUUCAGUCAAACUCCGAAUGCCGAUGACUUAUCCUUGGGAGUCAGACUGCGAGUGAUAAGAUCCGUAGUCGAAAGGGAAACAGCCCAGACCGCCAGCUAAGGUCCCAAAGUAUACGUUAAGUGGAAAAGGAUGUGGAGUUGCUUAGACAACCAGGAUGUUGGCUUAGAAGCAGCCACCAUUUAAAGAGUGCGUAAUAGCUCACUGGUCGAGUGACUCUGCGCCGAAAAUGUACCGGGGCUAAACGUAUCACCGAAGCUGCGGACUGUUCUUCGAACAGUGGUAGGAGAGCGUUCUAAGGGCUGUGAAGCAAGACCGGAAGGACUUGUGGAGCGCUUAGAAGUGAGAAUGCCGGUAUGAGUAGCGAAAGAGGGGUGAGAAUCCCCUCCACCGAAUGCCUAAGGUUUCCUGAGGAAGGCUCGUCCGCUCAGGGUUAGUCGGGACCUAAGCCGAGGCCGAAAGGCGUAGGCGAUGGAUAACAGGUUGAUAUUCCUGUACCACCUCCUCACCAUUUGAGCAAUGGGGGGACGCAGGAGGAUAGGGUAAGCGCGGUAUUGGAUAUCCGCGUCCAAGCAGUUAGGCUGGGAAAUAGGCAAAUCCGUUUCCCGUGAAGGCUGAGCUGUGAUGGCGAGCGAAUUAUAGUAGCGAAGUUCCUGAUUCCACACUGCCAAGAAAAGCCUCUAGCGAGGUGAGAGGUGCCCGUACCGCAAACCGACACAGGUAGGCGAGGAGAGAAUCCUAAGGUGAUCGAGAGAACUCUCGUUAAGGAACUCGGCAAAAUGACCCCGUAACUUCGGGAGAAGGGGUGCUCUGUUAGGGUGCAAGCCCGAGAGAGCCGCAGUGAAUAGGCCCAGGCGACUGUUUAGCAAAAACACAGGUCUCUGCGAAGCCGUAAGGCGAAGUAUAGGGGCUGACGCCUGCCCGGUGCUGGAAGGUUAAGAGGAGCGCUUAGCGUAAGCGAAGGUGCGAAUUGAAGCCCCAGUAAACGGCGGCCGUAACUAUAACGGUCCUAAGGUAGCGAAAUUCCUUGUCGGGUAAGUUCCGACCCGCACGAAAGGCGCAACGAUCUGGGCACUGUCUCAACGAGAGACUCGGUGAAAUUAUAGUACCUGUGAAGAUGCAGGUUACCCGCGACAGGACGGAAAGACCCCGUGGAGCUUUACUGCAGCCUGAUAUUGAAUGUUGGUACAGCUUGUACAGGAUAGGUAGGAGCCUUGGAAACCGGAGCGCCAGCUUCGGUGGAGGCAUCGGUGGGAUACUACCCUGGCUGUAUUGACCUUCUAACCCGCCGCCCUUAUCGGGCGGGGAGACAGUGUCAGGUGGGCAGUUUGACUGGGGCGGUCGCCUCCUAAAAGGUAACGGAGGCGCCCAAAGGUUCCCUCAGAAUGGUUGGAAAUCAUUCGCAGAGUGUAAAGGCACAAGGGAGCUUGACUGCGAGACCUACAAGUCGAGCAGGGACGAAAGUCGGGCUUAGUGAUCCGGUGGUUCCGCAUGGAAGGGCCAUCGCUCAACGGAUAAAAGCUACCCCGGGGAUAACAGGCUUAUCUCCCCCAAGAGUCCACAUCGACGGGGAGGUUUGGCACCUCGAUGUCGGCUCAUCGCAUCCUGGGGCUGUAGUCGGUCCCAAGGGUUGGGCUGUUCGCCCAUUAAAGCGGUACGCGAGCUGGGUUCAGAACGUCGUGAGACAGUUCGGUCCCUAUCCGUCGCGGGCGCAGGAAAUUUGAGAGGAGCUGUCCUUAGUACGAGAGGACCGGGAUGGACGCACCGCUGGUGUACCAGUUGUUCUGCCAAGGGCAUCGCUGGGUAGCUAUGUGCGGACGGGAUAAGUGCUGAAAGCAUCUAAGCAUGAAGCCCCCCUCAAGAUGAGAUUUCCCAUUCCGCAAGGAAGUAAGAUCCCUGAAAGAUGAUCAGGUUGAUAGGUCUGAGGUGGAAGUGUGGCGACACAUGGAGCUGACAGAUACUAAUCGAUCGAGGACUUAACCAAUUU
rnacentral:rRNA from 1 species